rnacentral:lncRNA from 1 species
GCAGGCUGCAGGUUAGAGGCAGAAGGAGGUAGCAGCGGGCCCGGCGGCAGCCAGGUGGCAGAAAGGAGCACGCAGCAUCCAGGUGGGGGGACGACUCCAGCAGGGUUUCCAUGGAGAUUCCUCUGGGUCUAGCCUAAAAACAGCAGAUCAGCUGACACCAUUAGCUCAGGACCUAAUUACUGCUUAUUGGAGCAACAAAUGAGGGAAAGGGCCAGCUGCAAAGGAAGAGUUUUUAUCCCCCCACCCCAUUCCCCCAUCUCCUUUCUCCCCCUCUCUCCAUCCCUCUUGAGUCCCGGGUGAAUUCUCAUUAACUUGCAAGAUUCCUGCAACAACAGCUCCCCUUCUCCAGAGGCCACCCCGACUGCUUUUAUUCUUUUAUUUCCUUCUUUUGUAUUAAAAAGAAAUGCUAAAAUAAAUCAGUUGUUGAGUCCUUGAAUUUUUGUUCAAUACGUAUUAGACCAUAGAGCUCAGAGAAGACACUGUCCAAUGAAGUCACAAGUGAAUCUAAUACAAGGGACUCAGGGGAAAAAUAUCACUUUCAAUUUAUUGAGGUGAAUCUUUAGAUAUUUCACAUUAAAAAAAUCUUAAUAUCUUAAAUACAUAAAUAUUUGAAACACGCAAUUGGACAGAAGAUAUCCUGAACCACCCUUCUAGUGGGGUAUACUUCACAGGAGCAACUCUGUUAAGUUUCCCUUUGUGGCAUCAGAGCUCAAUUUAGUUAGAUAUUGGUCAUGUGUUUCCUGGAAGUUUCUGGAAAGAUAAUUGGUCCUGGGGUAGUCAUUCAAGAAUAAGCUGGUUCUAUAGAAUUCACUUUCUCAUAUGGUUAUAGUUCACAAUUAUAGAACUAUUUUAUGCAGCUUUUCAU